rnacentral:rRNA from 1 species
UCCCCUAGUACGGCGAGUGAAGCGGGAAGAGCUCAAAUUUGAAAUCUGGUAGCCUUCGGUUGCCCGAGUUGUAAUCUAGAGAAGUGUUUUCCGCGUUGGCCCAUGUACAAGUCCCUUGGAACAGGGCGUCAUAGAGGGUGAGAAUCCCGUCCUUGACAUGGACCCCCAAUGCUUUGUGAUACACUUUCAACGAGUCGAGUUGUUUGGGAAUGCAGCUCAAAAUGGGUGGUGAAUUCCAUCUAAAGCUAAAUAUUGGCGAGAGACCGAUAGCGAACAAGUACCGUGAGGGAAAGAUGAAAAGCACUUUGGAAAGAGAGUUAAACAGUACGUGAAAUUGUUGAAAGGGAAACGAUUGAAGUCAGUCAUGCUCUUUGGAUUAAGCCGUUCUGCGGUGUAUUUCAUUGAGCGGGGUCAACAUCAGUUUUGAUCGCUGGAAAAGGGCAGGAGGAAGGUAGCACUCUCGGGUGAACUUAUAGCCUCUUGUCGUAUACAGUGAUUGGGACUGAGGAACGCAGCAUGCCUUUUGGCCGGGAUUCGUCCACGUACAUGCUUAGGAUGUUGACAUAAUGGCUUUAAACGACCCGUCUUGAAACACGGACCAC